ensembl:snRNA U1 U1 spliceosomal RNA
AUAUGGCAGGGGAGAUACCAUGAUCAUGAAGCUGAUUUUCCCAGGGCGUGGCUUAUCCAUUGUACUCUGGAUAUGCUGGCCCCUGCAAUUUUACUAAAUGUGGGAAACUUGAUUUUAUAUUUUGUGAUAGUAGAGGGCUGCAUUUGCUUUCCCCCU